GGGAUAUGAGCUGGGAUAGCUCAGUUGGCAGAGCAUGAGACUCUUAAUCUUCAGGUUGUGGGUUUGAGCCCCACAUUGGAUGAAAUAUUCCU
rnacentral:tRNA from 1 species